UUCCAAUUUAACCCUACCUAGACCCACCUUCCUCCCCCUUUCUCACUCUUUCUACUCUCUCUCAUUUUCUCUUCGCACUAGACCGGUUCACCUCUGCCUAGGUCUGCGGCCUCUGCGCAUUCAAACGACAACCGCCGCUCCUCCAACCGUCGCCAUCUUCCUUCUUCUUCUUUUUCUUCUCUUUCUCCUCCAGUCAUCCGCCAGCCUGCAUCAACCGCCAAAAAUUUUGCCGCCGCCUCUAGCCACCGCUCCUGCACGAUAUGGGUAGGGUUGAAUGGCUGCGAAAGUCGCCACACCUCCUUCACAAUCUUCACCUCUCCGGUUCGUCAUUCGAAUCUAGGAAUUUGGUGUGAACUUGGCGUCAAUUUUUCCUUCCGUGAUGGCGAUAUUGAGGUGUUAGACGUAGUAUGCGCAAUCUUGGUUCAAUUUUUGGGAUGGAAUGUUAUACUCGUGUUCUUGAUGCUCUGAAAUUGAUAUUUUCUGUGUGAUACAUCUGGAUACUUUCCGAUUUUGGGUGUUUAGAUAUUUCCUCGGUUUGGUUAUAGUCUAUUGUGCGGUUAGCUAUUUUGUUUGCAAAAUUCAUGGGUAAAGUUCGAGUUCCUACUACAAGCUGCAUCAAGGCUACUCAAUCAAAAAGGUAUUAGCAAAAAGAAAUGCAGGCAACCUUUCAUUCCACGUCCUGUUGUGCCACGUAUUCCAAUGGGUGGCACCUCUUCGACGGGCCAUCGUGCACAACGCACAACCACUCAACUCACCUCCAUUUCAGUUAUAUAAGGUAAUUUGGAUUUCACUGACCCCCCAGGACUGCCAUCGUAAUGACCAAUGCUUAGAACCAUGUCAGAAGAUUAUUAUUGGUAAAUUCUUUCACAAACCGACCUUAGAUGAACUUCAGGUCACGACCAGGGGUAAACGCGUAUCUUUCCAAUAUUGGUUGGACCUUUUUUGCUACUUUACAUUUACCAGCAAUCACUGAGUUAGUCUAUAAGUUCUUUUCUACAUUCCAAUUCACUUUGCCUGAUGCAUUUUAUCUUUUUACCCAUAAUGUCAUCCAGUUUCGCUUAAUGGGGACGAGUUUUCAUCAGUCUAUAACUGAAUUUGGUAUAGCAUUAGGAGUUGUUUCUGAACUAGAUUCUCAAAGUGCCGAGUACUCCCGUAGUUUGUGUGAUUAUGCUGAACCAUUUUCUAGUAGUUGUAUGACUUUUGGCAUGAAAUUAGUUGCCACGCCUCCCAUUUUCAUCCACGAGAUGCUCGUUCCUCAUCUAUCAAACUUCCUACCUUACAGCUCAUGCAUAAAUUUUAUUGCCUAUAACUUACUUGGUAGACAGGAUAGUGCAGGUGUGAUUUUUAAGGUUGAAUUAUAUAUGUUAUGGGCCAUGAGUCGAGGGAUCCGUAUCAAUCUUUGCUUUUGGCUAGACGACAUAUUUUCUCGUGUGUUUCAUACUAAAAGCGGCAACCUCAUUCACGGAUCUUACAUGACACACCUCACCCUUAACCUUGUUCUUAUUCAGAUGUUUAUAUUGACUAUCUUAGUUCUUUUUCUCUUCACAGGUCCUACACGAUGACGCCCUUGGACUUUCCUUGUCUCAAGGCAAUGAAACUGGUUACAAACCAUAACGGGAAUCGGUUCUUAGUUGGCACACUAGUCCACGAAUCUCAAGCUUCUCUAGACCUCCCUUUUUUUGAUCCCAAUCCACCUGCAUUCUCUCAUCACUACUUCCAAGUGCAAUUUGAUCAAUUGCAAGAUGCGCUCGAGCACCAACAAACAGAAAUUGCGGCCUUUCUGGCUAAGUAUGCCGCCUUUCGCACUGAAGUGACUACAACCCUUUCUUAGAUGAAGCUAUUGCUACAUUCCCUCAUUUUUCGCACCGCUUGACUUCGGUACUUCAAACCGGAGAAGCAUUGUAAUCCAUUUCUCUUUAUUUUUUUAUUGCAUUAGGGACAAUGCAUGAACUAGGUGUGGGGAGGGGGGAUUACAUUUUUUUGAUAGUUUCUUAUUAUCUCUUUGAUGCUUCCUUAACUCUAUCUUACAUUUGCUGUCUUGCUUUAUGAUCCUUCUUAUGUGACGUUUUUGUAUUUGGAAUGA